ACGUAAGGUAACGGCAGUUGUGAUGGAGCGGGAUUCAGAUUCUGCCAGGUGCUUAGCAGUACUCAGCUGUUGGCAGGGGUAGUAUGACGUCGAGUAGAUUUGGAGGACGUGGCACAGUCGAUGACCAACGAAUUAGGGACUGGGUGUUUAAAGAGGGGAUUCCAUGGUACUCACAAGCCGAAGUCAAAAGCCAGAAAUCAGUCCGAUCUUUCGCCAAACAGUGGAACAAGAAGGCCAAG